rnacentral:rRNA from 1 species
UGGGAACCUUCCCUAUGGUUCGGAAUAGCUCAGGGGAAAACUUGUGCUAAUACCGGAUAAGCCCUUACGGGGAAAGAUUUAUCGCCGAGAGAUCGGCCCGCGUCUGAUUAGCUAGUUGGUGAGGUAACGGCUCACCAAGGCGACGAUCAGUAGCUGGUCUGAGAGGAUGAUCAGCCACACGUGGGACUGAGACACGGCCCAGACCUCCGUACGGGAGGCAG